CGUGAGGCUUCUUCAGCCGCUUCCUGCUCCCGGCAGGAUCUCCUCCUCCUCCCGCCUGUCAGUCACCGAGACAUCAGCAGAAACAUUUGAUUUUAACACCGAAUAUUAUUGGAAUCACGACAUUUGGAGCUGCAGUGACCAAUCCCUGCGGAGGGGGGCGGGGUUAGAGACACAUAAACAGGAAGUGCUGUGAAGGCUGCAGCCAGUUCAGGAAAAUGCAACAUUUAAGGGUGAUGUUACCGUCAGAAAUGUAAACGCCUGAAUGGCUAAAACCGAAAAUAUUUGAAAUUCCACGCGCAGAUUCUUGUCUAUAAUAGCAGAAAUGUCAAAAUUUAUUUGUUAAAAACUUUAUGAAUCCACGUUGUCACCAGAAAAUAUAAAAAUAUUUUUAAAAAUAACUUUUAAAGGAAAAAUAUGUUUUAAA